rnacentral:lncRNA from 1 species
UGCUGUUCCUUCUCAUUCAUUCCAUGACCAUCUCCUCUAACUUCUAAAUGUACAAUUACUUUUCAGGUAAAACAAACAAACAAAGAAAAGGAUGAGAUGACUCGACUUUUCAGCGGUACUGGAAGAUAUCAUUUCCAUUCGGACUGAAAAGGAUUUUCUUCAGAUCCAUCAACAACGCAUACAGCAAGUUCAUAAGAUGCAGAGACAGUCCACAUUAUAGUUUCUGACCUGUCUGAACAAGAGAUAUAUUAAAGCUUCUACAUUUCAUUAAAGAAACCUACCAGAGUUUAC